UGUCCACACCUUUCUUCUGUACUAGAUGUGUCAGAGAUCCUUUGGGGCUCAUCCAGCUGAAAAAGCUUCUGGAAUCUCCAGGUUUCAAGUCCUGGUGAAGCAGGAAGUGUUAGCCUGUACCUCUCCUCCUGAGCAAGCCAGAGAAUCUGUGAACCUGAGGCCCAGGAUCACUCAGUAAAGGGCAUGGCCAGGUUUGGGAAGGCUUUUGCCUCAUCAUCUGAUCUCCUGAGCUUGGUGCUCCCGGGUUGAAUAGGACUUGAAGAAAGAGCAAACCAAAUGUGCAUCAAAACCAAGCCAAACCUGACUGUGGGCUGAGUUCAAGAUAGAGCAUUCCGUUGCAGCUCCCCGUCAUUUGCUGUGUGUUUCUCCUAGUUAUGCAAUUAGAUCGUUUCCUGCCCCACUCCUCAACUUCUAGCUAAACUGAUCUUGUAGUGUUGUACAACGGCUCAGGUGGCUGCAUUUCUUUUGAACACUUUUUCUUUAAGGCUAAGGGAAUGCUGGAAGUUAGUUUUUGCCAUGUAAGACGAAAGAAAAAGCAAAGUCUCUCAGUUGUGUCCGACUCUUUGUGACCCCAUGGACUGUAGCCUACCAGGCUCCUCAGUCCAUGGAAUUUUCCAGUCAAGAGUACUGGAGUGGGUUGCCAUUUCCUUCUCCAGGGGCUCUUCCUGACCCAGGGAUCAAACCUGGGUCUCCUCACUGCAGGCAGAUACUUUACCAUCUGAGCCACCAGGGAAGUCCUGUGAGAUGAGGGAGUGGCAAACUAGCAGCCUGCAGCCUGAAUCUGAUCUCCCCUUGCCCCCUGCCUAGGGAAGUUUGGUAUUUUCAGUUCAGUUCAGUUCAGUCACUCAGUCGUGUCUGACGCUUUGCAACCCCAUGGACCACAGCAUGCCAGGCCUUCCUGUCUGUCACCAACUCCCAGGGUUUACUCAAGCUCAUGUCCACUGAGUCGGUGAUGCCAUCCAACCAUCUCAUCCUCUGUCGUCCUCUUCUCCUCCCGCCUUCCAUCUUUCUCAGCAUCAGGGUCUUUUCCAAUGAGUUAGUUCUUCACAUCAGGUGGCCGAAGUAUUGGAGUUUCAGCUUUAGUAUCAGUCCUUCCAAUGAAUAUUUAAGACUGACUCCUUUAGGAUUGACUGGUUGGAUCUCUUUGCAGUCCAAGGGACUCCCAAGAGUCCUCUCCAACACCACAGUUCAAAAGCAUCAAUUCUUUGGCACUCAGCUUUCUUUAUGGUCCAACUCUCACAUCCAUACAUGACUACUAGAAAAACCAUAGCUUUGACUAGGCUGACCUUUGUUGGCAAAGUAGCAUCUCUGGUUUUUAACAUGCUGUCUAGGUUGGUCAUAGCUUUUCUUCCAAGGAGCAAGCGUCUUUUAAUUUCAUGGCUGCAGUCACCAUCCGCAGUGAUUUUGGAGCCCUGGUAUUUUGGAGUUCUGGUAUUUUGAAAGAACUGGCAAUUAGUCAUUGCCAGUGUUGAAAACCAGAUGAGUUCAGUAAAAGUCUAGAUUUAUGACGUUGGAGGAAUUGGAAGGCUUGACAAUAGGAGGCCCUCAUCCCCACAUGGCUACAACCUGGACGAGGUGAGAGGUCACAGCCUGCCUCUCCCGGUUACCUCCCAGUCUCCCAGCUCAGCUACCUGCUCCAAAUUGUACACGCAGAGCCCCACCUCAGUAUUCGUGCAUUUGGGGCCAGAUCAUCCUUUUUUGGGGUGGGGGUUGUCCUGUCAGCAGCAUCCCCCAUCCCUCACCACUCAGCUCACCCCAGAGGAGACCAUCAAAAAUGUCCCCAGACAUUGUCCAAUGCCUAUGGCUUCAGUAGAUAGCAGCCAACGACGUUAGCUUCUGCAAGCUAAUGAAACAGUAUUGUAAGUUCUUACACAUUAGCCUUGUUCCUUUCUUAUGCUCAAAAUGUCACACUGGGGAGUAAUUUGCAGAGACUGCCCAGACUGUGUGCUUGUUUUGAAAUUCCUGACCAGGCUGGGACAUCCAGCCCUCCAGCCCUCUUAAAAUCACAGUCCAAUAUUAUUGGACCAUUAAUUGACACUAGAAGGAAUUUUAAAGAUCACAAUGUCCUCACUUUACAGGUAAGAAAAGUGAGUCCCAAGGAGAUGAACUGCCCCGCUCGUACAACUGGCUAAUGGCUUGAACACAAUCUAGAUCCAAACCCCAGCUUAACUAUUCUCUCCACAACAUCAAACACUUGAGCCAUAAAGAAAAAAUCUACGCAUGAGAUAGAGAUGUCCUGCUGACUGAAUUUAGCUACAUUUGCUUUUCUCAGUGACUUCAGGUCGAUUAUAAUUAUUUCUGUGUGCUGCUGUGACAUGCUGUCUCACCUCUCCAAAUAAACUGCCAAAGUGACCUUUUCAUUGCUUGGGGACCUGAAAGAAUAGGCUCCCCUUUGGAGUGCAGGCCCCUUAGAAGGAAGUCAGAGGGGGACUUUUCUGCCCUGUUUUAUUUGGGUGUCUGCUCUUGGAAUGUACAUCACCACACAAAGCAUGCCCCCGUGCUCUGCUUGGAAAAGAAAGAUGCAAGUAGGACUUUGGAGUUGGGUUAGGAUUCUUCAGUGGCAUCUUUGAGAAGCCCCCGUUUGACCUCUAGGGUGCUACAGAGGCAGGCAGGCUGUGCGGUUAGUCUGGGAGAGGAGGCAGCCUUGACAGAUGGUACCCGAAACUCCCACGGUCAUUUGCAUGGGUGUGAACAGUCAGCUUUCCCCCACCUCACAGCCUGUCCCUCAUCCCUCUCAACCCUAACCUGGGCCCUUCUUUGCAUACACGUGCUUUGCAAGGUGCCUGGUGCCAUCUGCAAAGUGACUCAUUUCCCCUAAGAAAACUGGCCUUGCUACUCAUCCUUACCAAGUUCUACUGGUGCCUGGGUGCUUUCCGAGAAGAGAAAACAUGCCAUUGGUGACCCUGGGGAAGGGUCUGGCAUUGAGGCGUUUCAUUUCUUCUCAUCUCCCCAAAUGUGCAGCAGCCUCCAGCCUGGGGGAUAACAAGGGACUUAGCAUGCAUGCACAGGAGAUAUACUGAGGUCCAGGCAGACAGGCAGCUGUCUGCUUUCUUGCUUCCUCUGAAUCCAAGAGAUGUUUUAUAUCCAUCUUCAAAGAAGUGUUCACUUAACCAAGGAGUAUCUGGUUAGCAAAGACUCUGUAGUUGAAUAAGUUUCUGGAUUUUUAAACUUUGGUUUCCAGAGAACCUUGUCACAGAGUGGGUUGAACUUUGAGGGGAGUGCUUUAUGUUAUUUUUUAUAACAAGGGGCAUUUCGUUUAUAGCUAGAUGCCUUACAGCAGUAAAUCAUCUGCUUACAAGUUUCAGAAGUUGCAAAGAGAAAUAAACCACAGCCCCACACUUUUAUUUCUCAUGCUUAUUUUCAAACACGUGACUUAAGAACAUGGGACUAUUUCUUUUGUAUUUUUCAAAUUUUUUCCUUUUUCUUUAAAAUCUGGGUCUUCAGUACCUCUUGGUGCCUAUUCAACACCUUCAGCCAACAAUUACCACCCCAGGCUCUGGCCUGAGUGUUCAUAUUUCAACUUUUGGUGGUUGUCAUUGUUAAGGAGCUGUGUUUAUAAUUCAGAUUUCAGAGCUGCAAGAAAUUGUCGAGGUCACAGAGUUCAGUCACCCUGUUUGGCUAAUGAAGAAGUGGAGACCUGAACGUGAAGUAUUUUGUUUCAGAUUGUGCAACUAAUCUCUAGAGAUGAAAGUAGAACCCAGACCCUCACUCUAGACCAGGUGCUAUUUUCAUGUAGGACAUUGUGACCCCCUUUCCUUCUCCUUAUUUCUGGGCCCCUUUCUUUGGGCUCUCUAGAAUGUAAAAUUAUUGGACAUAAAAUUAUAAGCCAUAAAAUUCCAAGAAGCCCUGUUUAAUCUGAGUUUUAUUUUUUUAAGCAGAUGGCAGCAGAUACUAACCCCAGCUGCCUUAAACAAUAGCCCAUAUCUUAUUGAUGGAAAUUCUCCAUGCCAAUCUUUAUUUAAUUCACUGUUUCCUAGGAUCUUCAUUCUUUCCAGCUGGUUAUUAAUUAUCAGGCAAUAUCCUCUUGAGUUGUCUCUACUUCUUAAUUACCUUAUUAAUUGUAUUCACAUAAAUUGAUCUCUCUGACAUUCUAACUCUGACUCACUGAGGAAAUAAGUCUAAUAUUCACAAGAGACUCCAACAAUCUCAUGACCUUAACUUAUUAUUUCCAUUAUGCAGACUGAUAUCACUAGAAGCCAGAUGAGACUGCUUUGCUGAACGGGCCUUUAUCCUAAUCAUAAUUAGAAUGUCCUUUAACAUUUCUCUCUUGCACACCUUUCUUGCUCAUUCAGAUAUACAUGAGACUUAUCAGUUCAUUUCCACCCUACCUGCACUCUUAAAUCUUUAACAAAGAAGGAAUUUCCUCUCUCAUAUUACCUUGCAGUAAUCCUUUAUUUGCAAUUCAAGGCAAUUAUAGGAGAAUAAACAUGAAUGUGUUUUAGCUCUUGGGUUUUUACUGUAACACUGCACCCUAAAGGCCUGAUGCCAAUUAAACAUUUAAAAACAAUUUUUAAGUCAAGUUUUUAUAUAUAAAGAUAGUCUCUUAAUGUGUGCUACUUGAGAACUCAUUUUUUUUCUUCGUGAUCGGGUACAUUACUGUUAACCCCACCCUUUGGCCCUGGUGCCAUUUAACUUCUAUGAAGUGAUAAGAGUAAACAGGUCCUUAUGUAAAAGUUGGUCAUUAUUCCAUACAGUUCCUUGGGUAUUUGUAUUAGAAAUGCUUGACUGGCAGGAAUUUAGAACUGAACACGAGAAUCUCCAUGAAAAAAACAAACCGAUGGAAAGGAGUUAGAGAAUUCCUGUGCAUGUUUAUUUGCAGUUGUGGGAAAAGUCAGCUCCAAAAUCUUAGAAGGAAGGAUAAUAUAAAUUUAAAAUGCCAGUAUUUUUCAUGGUGAGAAAAAUGGGUCACCUGGAUGCCAUAAAUGGACAGAUUUUAUUUUGGCUGGGGAUUCAAGGAUCCAAUUGAAUGGUCUACAUGAGUGAGUCUCUCCAUGUAUCUACACACUGCAGAACAUUCACCAGAGAUUCUCUCAGUUCAGCCGCUCAGUCGUGUCUGACUAUUUGUGACCCAGUGGACUGCAGCACACCAGGCCUCCCUGUCCAUCACCAACUCCUGGAGUUUACUCAAACUCAUGUCCAUCGAGUCGGUGAUGCCAUCCAACCAUCUCAUCCUCUGUUGCCCCCUUUUCCUUCUGCCUUCAACCUUUCCCAGCAUCAGGAUCUUUUCAAAUGAGUCAGUUCUCCACAUCAGGUGGCCAAAGUGUUGGAGCUUCAGCUUCAGCAUCAGUCCUUCCAACGAAUAUUUAGGACUGAUUUCCUUUAGGAUUGACCGGUUUGCUCUCCUUGCUGUCCAAGGGACUCUCAAGAAUCUUCUCUAACACCACAGUUCAAAAGCAUAAAUUCUUCAGCACUCAGCUUUCUUUAUGGUCCAACUCUCACAUCCAUACAUGACAGCUGGAAAAACCAUAGCUUUGAAUAUAUGGACCUUUGUCAGCAAAGUAAUGUCUUAACUUUUUAAUAUGCUGUCUAGGUUUGUCAUAGCUUUUCUUCCAAGGAGCAAGCAUCUUUUAAUUUCAUGGCUACAAUAACAAUCUGCAGUGGUUUGGGGGCCCAAGAAAAUAAAGUCUGUCACUAUUUUCAUUGUUCCCCAUGAAGUGAUGGGACUGGAUGCCACAAUCUUUGUUUUUUUUUUCUUUCCUAUGAAAAGCCCCCAAGAUGUUUUUAAUUUAUAGACAAGCACAUGUUAAAACUUAUAUAGAAAACCAAAAGAAAAAUGGACAUGUGAAGCUAAAUCAAUUUUAAAAAAUAUUAAGAAAAUAGAAGUACUUUAUCCAAUUUUGAGAUUUAAUGAUAGCUACAGUAUUCAAGAUAAUGUGGUAUUAGCAGAGGCUUAAAUACACAGAUCAAUAGGAUAACAUAAAGAACUCAGAACCAGACCAAAAAUUAAUAUGCCCAGCAGAUUUUUUUGUUUUUAACUAAGUUCAGUUUAGUAGAGGCAGGAUAGUCUUUUCAAUUAUUCAAUUGGUGCCAGAACAACUGAACAUCCUUAGGCAAAAAAAAAAAAAAAACCCACUACCUAAACUGCACGUGGUUAGUACAAAAAGUAACUCAACAUGUAUCAGAGAUUUAAGAACCCAGAGCUUGCUGAAGACUUCUUAGACAAGACGUGAAAAAACAUGAAGAGGGGCCUUCACAAUAAUGCCAUCAAUUAACACAACAGAAACGACAUGGCCUACAAUGGCCAUACAAAAACUAGACACGUAGUCAUUUGAAAGGCCCUGAAAAGGGUUCAGAGUGAAUACAUGAUUAUUUUUAUGUCUUUCUGUACAGUAUAUUUCUUAACGUGAGGUAAUACUAUCACAUGUUGCUUAAAAAAAUAAAAGGAAGGAAUCUCAAAAUACCCGGGCAAAUGAUAUUAGUCAUUAGUCCUUAUACUGGAACUAAGCCAAUGGCGACACUUUUGGAACUUACCUGUACCCUUACUGACACACGCUUAUUUCAGCCGUUAAAAUUCUAGUCACUUUACUUGACAGGGAAUCGUCAUGCAAUCUUUUGUAAGAUUAAAAAUGAGAUUCCUUCUCUGAAGGUAUUGUUAUCAUUUAGCUUAAUUUAGCUGUGUGUUUUGUUUUGUUGUGGCUGCAAUUCAACCUUGAGAAAAUCUCUGAUGUGUUCCGGAAGCCUCUCUAAGGAGGAAUCAGAGGGAAGAACUGGGAUUCAUCUGGGAAGGUUGCACAGUUACACUGUCCUCCUCACCUGACAGACAAAUAAAAAAGUUAGAAACAUGAGUGAACUUAGUAUUAUUUCCUUUUGUGGAUGUGAGCUGAACUGCUUUACAAAACUGAGUAUUUGGUACUAACCCAUUGCUGGGACAAAAGUUGUAUUGCCUAAAAUCGUGGCACAACAGUUGGCUAGACCACGGUCAUUGAGAAGUGCUCCGUGUCAUCUUCCACGUGUCAGGCUGAAAACACCAAAACAAAGAAACAGAUACCAAAAUACAAGAACUGAAUUUUAUCCUGCUCUCAUAUUUCAAAUGCAUUUCAAAGUUCGGUUCCAAAUAACUGUGAAGGGUUAUUGGCCAAUGGGUCAUACUCAGAGGUCCAUACAACCAAGUGCUGCAUAUCUCGCCAGGUGAGAUUUGGACUGGAGGAGGAGUGACCGAAAGAAUGUUCAGGGACAAAAAGGAGUUUCUUUGCAAAUGCAAGUGUUAAAAACAAGCAUCUCCAUUCGGAUGGAGCCCUCCCAAAGGGUGAAAAGACCAGAUAUCUUGAGACACAUCUAUAAUCCUACAGGCUAGGAAGUUCUAAUCUACAGGAAUGAAGGCCUGGGUUUCCAUCUGGUAUCAUUGUACCUCCGCUUAAAGGAUCUUCUCUAACAUUUCUUGUGCUGCAUAUCUGCUGCUGAUGGAUUUUUUCAGGUUUUGGUAAAGACCUAGGAUUGAAAGUGGUUGACUGGGGAGACCAAUGAAGACUUCUGGCUAGUGAAAAGAUAGUCAUGCUGGUAAAUAUAAGAAGAAACCAUUGGAAAUAUUAUUUCUGGAUUGGCUGCUACACAUAUAAGUUGCCAAAGAGCUGCCUCUUUCUUCAUAUUGCUGUGAACUCUGCAUUUUAUACUUUGGAGAACAUUCCAUAGUAGUACAAGAAGAACUUCCCCAUUGUUUUUGAUAGUUAUAUGGUCCAUAAUUUAUUUAACAAAUGCCAUAUUGAUAGAAAUUUAGGUUGCCUCCAAAAUAUUCUCAUUAGAUGCGAUACUUCUUUUUUUUUCAUUUAUUUUUAUUAGUUGGAGGCUAAUUACUUUACAAUAUUGUAGUGGUUUUUGUCAUACAUUGACAUGAAUCAGCCAUGGAUUUACAUGUAUUCCCCAUCCCGAUCCCCCCUCCCACCUCACUCUCUACCCGAUCCCUCUGGGUCUUCCCAGUGCACCAGGCCUGAGCACUUGUCUCAUGGGAUGUGAUACUUCUAUUAAAAACUCAGAGAUCAUUUUGCAUAUAUGCAAAUAUGUCUAUAAUAUAUAAUUCUAAAAAUUAUGUGAGUCAAAAGUUAGAUGCUCUUGUAAUUUUGAUAGCUAUUGAUGUAAAAACAGGAUAAUAGCACAGUUUAAUGAUGUAAAUAAAUAUCUUUUCUCUAUGAGCAUCUUCCCUAUUCAGAUAACACAG